AUCGAACGCUGGCGGCAGGCCUAACACAUGCAAGUCGAGCGGAGCGGCGGACGGGUGAGUAAUGCCUAGGAAUCUGCCUGGUAGUGGGGGAUAACGUCCGGAAACGGGCGCUAAUACCGCAUACUAUCAGAUGAGCCUAGGGUGGAUUAGCUAGUUGGUGGGGUAAAGGCCUACCAAGGGGACGAUCCGUAACUGGUCUGAGAGGAUGAUCAGUCACACUGGAAUGAUGAACGGGGCCUGCACCCUCCGGGAGCAAGCAGUGGGGAAUAUUGGACAAUGGGCGAAAGCCUAAUCCGGCCAUGCCGGGUGGGUGAGGAGGGUCUUCGGAUGUUAAAGCCCUUUAAUCUGGGAGGCGUUACCAACAGAAUAAGCACCGGCUAACUUCGUGCCAGCAGCCGCGGUAAUUC
rnacentral:rRNA from 1 species